rfam:Triticum aestivum genome assembly, contig: Triticum_aestivum_CS42_TGACv1_scaffold_374753_5AL
CCAUUGCUCAGUUGGUAAAGCAUAAAGCUCUUAACCUUCUGGACAUGGGUUCAAGCCCCAUGAUGGG